rnacentral:piRNA from 1 species
UGCAACAUGAACCUGUCUAACGUAACUAG